rnacentral:rRNA from 1 species
CACGUAGGGCGCGAGCGUUGUCCGGAAUUAUUGGGCGUAAAGAGCGUGUAGGCGGCCUGAAAGGUCAGCUGUGAAAACUCGAGGCUCAACCUCGAGACGUCGGUUGAAACCAUCUGGCUAGAGUCCGGAAGAGGAGAGUGGAAUUCCCGGUGUAGCGGUGAAAUGCGCAGAUAUCGGGAAGAACACCCGUGGCGAAGGCGGCUCUCUGGAACGCAACUGACGCUGAGACGCGAAAGCGUGGGGAGCAAACAGG